rnacentral:lncRNA from 1 species
AAAAUUGAGAAUGGAAAUGGGGAAUGUGCCAAAGAGACAACAACCCGACCAUAGAAAAAAACAACUGCAGAAGGUCACCAACAGGUCUUCAAUGUAGCGAGAAAUUCCCGCACCCGGAGGCAUCCUUCAGCUGGCCCCUAAACAAAUAUAUACUAGUUCAGUGAUAAUGAACGCCAUACUAAUUUCCAAAUUGUACACAAGAAACUAAAAUUAAAAUAAUACAAGACUAACAAAGGCCAGAGGCUCCUGACUUGGGACAGGCGCAAAAAUGCGGCGGGGUUUAACAUGUUUGUGAGAUCUCAACCCUCCCCCUAUUCCUCUAGCCAAUGUAGAAAAGUAAACGCAUAACAAUACGCAC